AGGAGCUGGCGGUCCGAGCUGUGGCUUGGAAGACCGACGCGAUGAAGCCCAGACCUGCAGGGUUCGUGGAUAAUAAACUCAAGCAGCGAGUCAUCCAGUACCUUACCAGUAACAAAUGUGGCAAAUAUGUGGACAUUGGAGUCUUAGCGUCUGAUUUACAAAGAGUGUACAGACUAUGGUCGAAGAAAAAGAAAUGCUUUUAGGAUUCAGGUAGAAAAAGUAUUUAGCAUAAUUAGUAGUGAGAAGGAACUUAAGAAUUUAACAGAAUUAGAAGAUGAACAUUUGGCAAAAAGGGCAAGACAAGGUGAAGAGGAUAAUGAACAGCGUCUCGCUCUGUCACCCAGGCUUCAGUGCACUGGCACAAUCAUGGCUUACCGCAGUCUUGACGUCCCAGGCCCAAGCGAUCCUCCCACCGCAGCCUCACAGGUAUACUGAAAGCUAUUCUGAUGAUGAUUCAAGUAUGGAAGACUACCCAGAUCCACAGGAUUCAAAAGAUUCUUCUCUUUUGGAGAGUGAUAUGAAACGGAAAGGCAAGCUAAAGAAUAAAGGAAGCAAAAGGAAGAAAGA
rnacentral:lncRNA from 10 species